GAUGAACGCUGGCGGCGUGCCUAAUACAUGCAAGUCGAGCGAACGGACGAGAAGCUUGCGCUUCUGAUGUUAGCGGCGGACGGGUGAGUAACACGUGGACAGCCUACCUAUAAGACUGGGAUAACUUCGGGAAACCGGAGCUAAUACCGGAUAAUAUUUUGAACUUCAUGGUUCAAAAGUGAAAGAAGGUCUUGCUGUCACUUAUAGACGGAUCCGCGCUGCAUUAGCUAGUUGGUAAGGUAACGGCUUACCAAGGCGACGAUGCAUAGCCGACCUGAGAGGGAGGAUCGCUAGAUUGUCUGUGAGGAUGGUCACAGACACCUGCGGGGGGAAACGGUCGAGAAUCUUACGCGAGGGGGGAGAGGGUGACGGAGCAACGCGGCCGGAGGGAUGAAGGUGCUAGGCUGGGAAAACGCUGAUAGUCUGGGGGAACAAAAGUGCUAGUACCUGUGCAGAUAAUGACGGUACCUAAUGAAGAAGCCCCGGCUAACUACGUG
rnacentral:rRNA from 1 species